ACUCACACAAAAGCCGCAUUGAAGCAAGCUGAUGAGGACUUCUUUUGUCCAUCAUGUGGUUCAAGAAACAUUCAAAAAAUUUUAGUAGUCAUUUCUGAUGGCAAAUCUAACGAUCGAAGACCAUUGCGAAGGAAAUCUUUCGCAGAAGUUACUGCCCCACUUAGAGCUACGUUUCGACAGCUACAGCUGUCAUCGACGGGCAAUGAUCGUAAUCAUCUUUGGCUAUUUAUUAUUUGAAGAGAUAAUUAGAGGAUCGAAAUUAACCAAUCAGAUCACAGCAAUUAAAGUAAUUAACUU